UAGAUUCAUUUUUUAUCUACAAAAUAAAUUGAACUUUAAUAAUAUUUAAUAUGUUUCAACUGUCAUGCAUAAUCUAUACAUAAAUAUUCAUAAUCAAAAAAGUCUGGAGAAGUUCCCACUGUGGCGCAGUGGUAACGAACCCGACUAUAAUCCAUGAGGAUGAGAGUUCCAUCCCUGGCUCUAUUCAGUGGGUUAAGGAUCCGUCAUUGCCGUGAGCUAUGGUAUAGGUCGCAGACAUGCCUUGAAUCUGGCAUUGCUGGGGCUGUGGUGUAGGUAGCUCUGAUUCGACCUCUAGCCUGGGAACUUCCAUAUGCCAUGGGAUGAGGCCCUUAAAAAAAAGAAAAAGGAAAAAAAAUUGGAGACCACCACCCUGGAAGGUCAGCAAGGGCUUUAUAGCCUAUCAGAAGCCUGUUUCCAUUGGGUGCUGGUGAGAGAAGGGAGCUGUGGAGGAGGGGCUGGUGAGCUCUGGGUGCAGAACCACUUGGGUUGGGUCAGACUCCUGGACAUCAACAGCAGUGUGGACUUUCCUGGGCAUCACUACCCCCUGUGGCCUCCAUUCUCCCUGCCCACCCUCUUGGGUCUGCCUGUGCCGCGCUUGGGUUCUAGGAACCUUUGGCUGCCAUGCGUCUCACAAGGAAGAGGGUGGUCCUGUGUGACGCUCCCCUCACCCCAGGCUGGCUGAAGUGCGGCUGGGGUCCCUGUAGCUGUCCUGGAUGCUGUGUCACCCCCAAGAGAAAAGUCCCUGGCGGGAGGCGGCCCUCUGCCGGGAGGCUGUUUCCUCAACCGGCCAAGGUAAGAAGUGGGGGAUUUCCAGCCCUGUCCACGAGGCUGACUUUGUGCUGGGGGCUCCUCUCCUUUCUCAUGCAGCCCAGGCCAGGGUGAGGACAGAAACUCCAGAGCAGGCCUGGUUGUAGGCAAGGGAGUGCAAGGGCAGCAGAGCCAGCUAAGGCUGCAAGCCUCUCCAGCUGCUUAAACCUGCUCUGGAGGGAGCCAAGCCCAAGGCCGAAGCCCAGGGCUGCACCUGGGAGAAAUGGGACCGAGCCCUGGAAGACUCUGACAGGCAUCUUGGGCAGGGGGUGGGGUGGGGUGGGGCUGGGGCUGGAAAUCCAGAGCCGCACUUACUCAUGGGCCUGUGGGGAAUGACUCAAAUCAAUGAAUGCCCCUGCCUAACCCUGGUUCUGGUGGUGAGGGGAAUGGCAGGUCUGAAUUUCACCUUUUAAGCUUCCGCUAACUGGCCGGUACUUCCAAGGGCACUGGAGAGUCAAAGGAGUCUAUGUGGGCCCCCCAGAAGCUGGGAGCCAGCAGUCUCAGGAUCUGGACAUCAUGCCCUCAAAAAAUUGAUUCCCGGAUUCCCGGGAAAGGGGAGCCGAACCCUCACAGCAUUCCCUGUCUUCAUGCACUGUCGCCAGCUGGGCAGGGAGGGUGGGUGUGAUCUUGGGAGCUAAUUGGAGAGAGAAUUAGGCAAUUAUAGUGACCUGGUGAUGGUGGUACCUACAGAGGUCUCAGCUCCAAUUUCAGUUCAGGUUCACUCAGGCCCAAGUAAGGGCUUGGGAAACAGCUAGACUCUUCCUCCACUGUCAUGAAGAUUCUCCUGUGCCUCAGACACUUGUGAUUUUGAAUUCAUUACCUGGCUUUGUGUGUCUGCUGUGUGCAUGUAUGUGCGCUUUGUGUUUGCAGGCUUGUGGGAUUGAGGUGUGUGAGGAGGAGGAAUGGGCAGGAACUCUUGCAGGGUGCCUGGGCUGGAGAAUAUCUGAGAGGUAAAAUAAUAAAUCUAGCCACCAUCAAUGCAGACUAGCAACAGGCCAUAAUAAUGUACAUACAUUAUACCGAUCUGCAUAGCAACCAAUCUUCAGAUGAAGUUGUUAUAAUCUCCAUUUUUCAAAUAAAUAAACUGAGUGAAACCUAGAGAAGUUAAAUGACCAGCCUGAGGUCACACAGCGAGCAAAUCCAGGCGAGGAUUUGAACCCAGGUCAUUCCGAGGCCAAACAAGAGGUCCUUCUACCAGGCUCUCUCAGCACAGUCCUCCUCAAUUACACUCCAUCUGCUCCUUGUCUCUGAGGUUCUGGCUGCCCUGGUCUGAGGUGACAGGCUCUUCCCCUCCCCACCUCCCCUCCAAUUUAGGUGGCAAGGCAGAGCCUGUUCAAGGCUGCAUGGAGCCCAGAUCAUCACCCAUCAAGCCAGUGCCCAGUUCAGAGAGGGUCUGGCUGGCCCUGGGCGGGAUCAGCUAGGGCUGAGCUGGGGCAGCUGUUUACAGUAAACAGAAAGCUCCCGAGGAAGGAAGGAGGGGAGGGGCUGGGGUCGUCAUGGAGACAGGGACUAGCAGCCGGCCUCAGCCCUGAUCCACAGCUACUGGUUACGCAUCCCUGCCCCUUCCAGAGCUGAAGGAGGCCCAAGGAAGGUCCAGACAGGCAGCCUAAGCAGGAGAGGCAGGGGCAGACCAGGCUCAGAGGAGUGCACACUUCAUUAUGUAUUUCUACUUAUUGUUAACAAUAACAACUAAUGUUGAUUGAGGGUUUUUUGUUUGUUUGUUGUUGUUGUUGUUGUUUUUUAACAGCAUGCCUUAAGCUGGGCCCUUCAGAGUCUGUUUUCUUAUUUAACCCUAGCAAUAACUAGGAGAUAGGCAGAAUAACAAUCUCUAAUUUAUAGAUGAGGAAAUUGAGGUUCAGAAAGAUAAACCCAUUUGUAAGAUCACACAGUUUGUUAAGUGACAGAGCAAAAAUUUUGGAUCAAAAACUCUUUACCAAGGCAGAAGGGAGAUAAGCUCUGAGCCCCUCAGCUGGUGGGGAAACUGAGUCCCUUGAGUACCAAAGGGACUUUCCCAGGCUUCUGGCUUUAGUCAAAGAGAUUGCCUGGGACAGAACCCGAGUGUUCCAGCCCUAACCACUAGACCACACGGCUUCUCCAUGGCUUGAGCUGGGAAGGUCCAAAGAGAAACUCCCUUUCCAGCCCCAGCCUGGAUCGUAGACUCUUCCCCCAGCUAACAGGCUGCCCCUGUGGAGGCCAGGCCAAGCCAGGGUGCCGUGGGGGAUGCUGGGGGGUUUCUGCCCACACAUAUGGUUUCCAGAUUCCAGGGGAUGAAAAGGAGGCCCUAGGGGCGGAAAUGGGGGAUGUGUGAUGACAAAUUUAGACUGAUUGC
rnacentral:lncRNA from 1 species